rnacentral:rRNA from 1 species
GAUGAACGCUAGCUAUAGGCUUAACACAUGCAAGUCGAGGGACCGGCACACGGGUGAGUAACGCGUAUCAAACCUGCCCAUAACUAAGGGAUAACCCAGAGAAAGUUGGACUAAUACCUUAUGGUUAUGGCUGGGGAUGCGUCUGCUUAGCUUGUUGGCGGGGUAACGCCCCCCCAAGGCAACGAUAAGUAGGGGUGCUGAGAGGAAGGUCCCCCACAUUGGAACUGAGACCCGGUCCAGACUCCUACGGGAGGCAGCAGUGGGGAAUAUUGCACAAUGGGCGCAAGCCUGAUGCAGCCAUGCCGCGUGUAUGAAGAAGGCUUCGGGUUGUAAAGCACUUUCAGCGGGGAGGCGUUACCCGCAGAAGAAGCACCGGCUAACUCCGUGCCAGCAGCCGCGGUAAUUC